UGUGAGGGCAACCUGGCUGCGACAUCUGUCACCUCAUUGAUGGCCACAGUUGAUUCCACUGAUCUGUCUGUCUAGGUGAGUGUCCCAUUCUUUCCUCACUGCUCCAUGUGGUCCCUCCCAAAGUUUUGUGCUCGGUCGAAGUGGACCACCUUCCCUGAUAGAGAAGAAUACCUACAA
rnacentral:snRNA from 1 species